GGAGAAGUACUCAAGUGGUCCAAGAGGAUGCACUCGAAAUGCAUUAGGCCGUUAAUAGCGGUGCGUGGGUUCGACUCCCACCUUCUCCGCCA
rnacentral:tRNA from 1 species